CCUCACAAGCAACAACAUUCAGGAGCUGGGUGACUUGGAUCCACUGGCCACGGUGAAGACACUGACCCUCCUCAGCUUGUUAAGGAAUCCA